rnacentral:rRNA from 1 species
AUACGUAGGUGACAAGCGUUAUCCGGAUUUACUGGGCGUAAAGGGCGUGUAGGCGGUCUUGCAAGUCAGAAGUGAAAUUCCUGAGCUCAACUCGGGCGCUGCUUCUGAAACUGCAGGACUUGAGUGCUGGAGGGGAUAGCGGAAUUCCUAGUGGAGCGGUAAAAUGCGCAGAUAUUAGGAAGAACACCGGUGGCGAAGGCGGAUAUCUGGACAGUAACUGACGCUGAGGCGCGAAAGCGUGGGGAGCAAACAGGAUUAGAUCCCCUGGUAGUCCACGCCGUAAACGAUGAAUACUAGGUGUAGGGGGUAUCGACUCCCUCUGUGCCGCAGUUAACACAAUAAGUAUUCCGCCUGGGGAGUACGGCCGCAAGGUUGAAACUCAAAUGAAUUGACGGGG